rnacentral:rRNA from 1 species
GUGAGGAAUAUUGCGCAAUGGAGGCAACUCUGACGCAGCCAUGCCGCGUGCAGGAAGAAGGCGCUACGCGUUGUAAACUGCUUUUAACCGGGAAGAAACCCCAGGACGUGUCCUGGGUUGACGGUACCGGAGGAAUAAGCACCGGCUAACUUCGUGCCAGCAGCCGCGGUAAUACGAAGGGUGCAAGCGUUAUCCGGAUUCAUUGGGUUUAAAGGGUGCGUAGGCGGAGCGUUAAGUCAGUGGUGAAAUCCUGCAGCUUAACUGUAGACUUGCCAUUGAUACUGGCGCUCUUGAGUGCGCUUGAAGUGGGCGGAAUGUGCCGUGUAGCGGUGAAAUGCUUAGAUAUGGCACAGAACACCAAUUGCGAAGGCAGCUCACUAAGGCGAUACUGACGCUGCGGCACGAAAGCGUGGGGAUCGAACAGGAUUAGAAACCCGAGUAGUCC